rnacentral:rRNA from 1 species
AUUGAACGCUGGCGGCAGGCCUAACACAUGCAAGUCGAACGAAGUCUUCGGACUUAGUGGCGGACGGGUGAGUAACACGUGGGAACGUGCCUUUAGGUUCGGAAUAACUCAGGGAAACUUGUGCUAAUACCGAAUGUGCCCUUCGGGGGAAAGAUUUAUCGCCUUUAGAGCGGCCCGCGUCUGAUUAGCUAGUUGGUGAGGUAAAGGCUCACCAAGGCUACGAUCAGUAGCUGGACUGAGAGGAUGACCAGCCACAUUGGGACUGAGACACGGCCCAAACUCCUACGGGAGGCAGCAGUGGGGAAUCUUGCGCAAUGGGCGAAAGCCUGACGCAGCCAUGCCGCGUGGAUGAUGAAGGUCUUAGGAUUGUAAAAUCCUUUCACCGGUGAAGAUAAUGACUGUAGCCGGAGAAGAAGCCCCGGCUAACUUCGUGCCAGCCGCCGCCGUAAUAC